rnacentral:tRNA from 1 species
GCGCCCGUAGCUCAAUCGGAUAGAGCACUUGGCUUCGAACCAAGGGGUUGGGGGUUCAAGUCCCUCCGGGCGCG